GCAGUCGAGGGGUAUAGUUCUUCGGAACUAGAGACCGGCGCACGGGUGCGUAACGCGUAUGCAAUCUACCUUUCACAAAGGGAUAGCCCAGAGAAAUUUGGAUUAAUACCUUAUAGUAUAUAUGAAUGGCAUCAUUUAUAUAUUAAAGAUUUAUCGGUGAAAGAUGAGCAUGCGUCCCAUUAGCUUGUUGGUAAGGUAACGGCUUACCAAGGCUACGAUGGGUAGGGGUCCUGAGAGGGAGAUCCCCCACACUGGUACUGAGACACGGACCAGACUCCUACGGGAGGCAGCAGUGAGGAAUAUUGGACAAUGGGCGCAAGCCUGAUCCAGCCAUGCCGCGUGCAGGAUGACGGUCCUAUGGAUUGUAAACUGCUUUUGUACAGGAAGAAACAGUUCUACGUGUAGAACCUUGACGGUACUGUAAGAAUAAGGAUCGGCUAACUCCGUGCCAGCAGCCGCGGUAAUACGGAGGAUCCAAGCGUUAUCCGGAAUCAUUGGGUUUAAAGGGUCCGUAGGCGGUUAGAUAAGUCAGUGGUGAAAGCCCAUCGCUCAACGGUGGAACGGCCAUUGAUACUGUCUGACUUGAAUUAUUAGGAAGUAACUAGAAUAUGUAGUGUAGCGGUGAAAUGCUUAGAGAUUACAUGGAAUACCAAUUGCGAAGGCAGGUUACUACUAAUGGAUUGACGCUGAUGGACGAAAGCGUGGGUAGCGAACAGGAUUAGAUACCCUGGUAGUCCACGCCGUAAACGAUGGAUACUAGCUGUUUGGGCGCAGCUCA
rnacentral:rRNA from 1 species